UACGGGGGGGGCUAGCGUUGUUCGGAAUUACUGGGCGUAAAGGGCGCGUAGGCGGUCUGCCAAGUUGGAUGUGAAAACUCUGGGCUUAACCCAGAGCCUGCAUUCAAUACUGACAGGCUAGAGUUCUGGAGGGGAUAGCGGAAUUCCUGGUGUAGCGGUGAAAUGCGUAGAUAUCAGGAGGAACACCGGUGGCGAAGGCGGCUAUCUGGACAGAAACUGACGCUGAGGCGCGAAAGCUAGGGGAGCAAACAGG
rnacentral:rRNA from 1 species